rnacentral:tRNA from 1 species
UGGCUAGGUGGGAUAGCCGAGCCAUUCCCUUUUCUUUAUAGCGGGUUCGAUUCCCGCUAUCCGCCC